rnacentral:rRNA from 1 species
GGAACUAAGCAUAUCAAUAAGCGGAGGAAAAGAAACCAACAGGGAUUGCCCUAGUAACGGCGAGUGAAGCGGCAACAGCUCAAAUUUGAAAUCUGGCUCUCGGGCCCGAGUUGUAAUUUGUAGAGGAUACUUUUGAUGCGGUGCCUUCCGAGUUCCCUGGAACGGGACGCCAUAGAGGGUGAGAGCCCCGUCUGGUUGGAUGCCAAAUCUCUGUAAAGUUCCUUCGACGAGUCGAGUAGUUUGGGAAUGCUGCUCUAAAUGGGAGGUAUAUGUCUUCUAAAGCUAAAUACCGGCCAGAGACCGAUAGCGCACAAGUAGAGUGAUCGAAAGAUGAAAAGCACUUUGAAAAGAGAGUUAAAAAGUACGUGAAAUUGUUGAAAGGGAAGCGUUUAUGACCAGACUUGGGCUUGGUUAAUCAUCUGGGGUUCUCCCCAGUGCACUUUUCCAGUCCAGGCCAGCAUCAGUUUUCCCCGGGGGAUAAAGACUUCGGGAAUGUGGCUCUCUUCGGGGAGUGUUAUAGCCCGUUGUGUAAUACCCUGGGGGGGACUGAGGUUCGCGCAUCUGCAAGGAUGCUGGCGUAAUGGUCAUCAACGACCCGUCUUGAAACACGGACCAAGGAGUCGUCUUCGUAUGCGAGUGUUCGGGUGUCAAACCCCUACGCGUAAUGAAAGUGAACGCAGGUGAGAGCUUCGGCGCAUCAUCGACCGAUCCUGAUGUUCUCGGAUGGAUUUGAGUAAGAGCAUACGGGGCCGGACCCGAAAGAAGGUGAACUAUGCCUGUAUAGGGUGAAGCCAGAGGAAACUCUGGUGGAGGCUCGCAGCGGUUCUGACGUGCAAAUCGAUCGUCAAAUAUGGGCAUGGGGGCGAAAGACUAAUCGAACCUUCUAGUAGCUGGUUCCGCCGAAGUUU